rnacentral:rRNA from 1 species
CCUACGGGAGGCAGCAGUGGGGAAUAUUGCACAAUGGGGGAAACCCUGAUGCAGCGACGCCGCGUGAGUGAAGAAGUAUUUCGGUAUGUAAAGCUCUGUCAGCAGGGAAGAAAAUGACGGUACCUGACCAAGAAGCCCCGGCUAACUACGUGCCAGCAGCCGCGGUAAUACGUAGGGGGCAAGCGUUAUCCGGAUGUACUGGGUGUAAAGGGAGCGUAGACGGCAGGGCAAGUCUGGGGUGAAAGGCGGGGGCUCAACCCGGGGACUGCUCUGGAAACUGGCAGGCUGGAGUGCAGGAGAGGUAAGUGGAAUUCCUGGUGUAGCGGUGAAAUGCGUAGAUAUUAGGAGGAACACCAGUGGCGAAGGCGACUUACUGGACUGUAACUGACGUUGAGGCUCGAAAGCGUGGGGAGCAAACAGGAUUAGAUACCCGGGUAGUC